rnacentral:rRNA from 1 species
GACGUAGGGCGCAAGCGUUGUCCGGAUUUAUUGGGCGUAAAGAGCUCGUAGGCGGCUGGUCGCGUCGACUGUGAAAACCCGUGGCUCAACCAUGUGGUCUGCAGUCGAUACGGGCAGGCUAGAAUUCGGUAGGGGAGACUGGAAUUCCUGGUGUAGCGGUGAAAUGCGCAGAUAUCAGGAGGAACACCGGUGGCGAAGGCGGCAUCCUGGACCGGUAUUGACGCUGAGGAGCGAAAGCCAGGGGAGCAAACGGG